rnacentral:rRNA from 1 species
AUUGAACGCUGGCGGCAUGCUUUACACAUGCAAGUCGAGCGGCAGCGCGGGGGCAACCCUGGCGGCGAGCGGCGGACGGGUGAGUAAUGCAUCGGAACGUAUCCCGUAGUGGGGGACAACCCAGCGAAAGCUGGGCUAAUACCGCAUAUGCUCUACGGAGGAAAGUGGGGACCCGCAAGGGCCUCACGCUAUGGGAGCGGCCGAUGUCCGAUUACCUAGUUGGUGGGGUAAAGGCCUACCAAGGCGACGAUCGGUAGCUGGUCUGAGAGGAUGAUCAGCCACACUGGGACUGAGACACGGCCCAGACUCCUACGGGAGGCAGCAGUGGGGAAUUUUGGACAAAUGGGGGGCAACCCUGAUCCAGCCAUGCCGCGUGC